rnacentral:rRNA from 1 species
UACGUAGGGGGCAAGCGUUGUCCGGAAUCAUUGGGCGUAAAGAGCGCGUAGGCGGCCCAGUAAGUCCGCUCUGAAAGUCAGGGGCUCAACCCCUGGAUGCGGGUGGAUACUGCUGGGCUAGAGUCCGGAAGAGGUGAGUGGAAUUCCUGGUGUAGCGGUGAAAUGCGCAGAUAUCAGGAGGAACACCGAUGGCGAAGGCAGGUCUCUGGGCCGAUACUGACGCUGAGGAGCGAAAGCGUGGGGAGCGAACAGG